rnacentral:rRNA from 1 species
GGGUCAUUAGGUUGGUCGUGCCACCGGUACGUACUGGUCUCACUGAUUCCUCCUUCCUGAAGAACCGUGAUGCCAUUAAUUUGGUGUUGCGGGGAAACAGGACUGUUACUUUGAAAAAAUUAGAGUGUUUAAAGCAAGCUAACGCUUGAAUACAUUAGCAUGGAAUAAUGAAAUAGGACGAUCGAUCCUAUUUUGUUGGUUUCUAGGAUUGACGUA